GUCCUCGCUUCUUCCUAAUCUUUCAUCCCUUUCUCUCAAUUUUGCCCUCCGUCCUCGGUUAUUAAGACGUGCCAUUUACUCUAGACGCUUCAGAUCUGCUCAUUUACAAACCCUAUCUCCAAUGGAAUCUUCAUUCGGCUUCCCGUUCCUCUCCAUCACCUGCAAUUCCUCUCCAUAACCUGCAACACAUGAUGUCUACUACUUUAUGUCCAGUUUUAGGGAAGUUGGAUUGGAAACCCUAAAAUACUAUGCAUCCCUUUCUUGGAAAGUCCAUAUUGGUGCCCUAAAAGUUCUUGGGUUGUGUUUGACUUCCCAUGCAGUUCGUGGCAAGAUUCUAUCUAAUUGUUGUAAAUUUGAAUGAUUUAAACAGUUUAGCGUGUUUAUUUGUGUGAAGCUACUUGGAUUAUUUAAUUAGUAGUAUAGCACGGUCUGUGCUUCGAGUUCAAAACUGAUUCUAAAGGGGAUUAAGAAAUGGAACUUUACAUGUUAUGAUUAUGAUUAUGAUGGUCAUUUUGUUGGUCAUGUGUUCUUAAUUGGGGACUAAAGAUUAGGGCCGUUCUUUUUUAUCCGAAUCCGAUAACCGAACCCGACCCGAAGAGACCCGACCCGAUAAACUACUAGGACCGAUAAACCCGAACCCGAUCUACGGUAAAAUCCGAAUCCGGUUGCCCUUAAUUGGAUUGGUAUUUGAAAGUCCGCCAAAGAUAAUCUACCGCAAACUACCUUCUAAAUCUUGCUAUCGAAGAUUUAAGUAAUUGUUUUUUAUAUUCAACACAUUCAUAUCUAUAAGAUAGAUGGACGUAAAAGUUUUUGUGGGUACGUGUUGUCCGGCACUUUUGGUCCCGUUAACACAUGCAGAAAGUUGAACACAGACUCAGGAAAAUUGAUUUGAGAGAGCUUGCAUCAGCUGAGAGCCCAUAUACUUUCGCACUUGUUUACACGCACAUCCUCAAUCAUCAACCUGAUUACCCAGCACUUCUUUCUCUGUGCUCACCUUGCAGUCUGGCAUCUAUUUUACACUGUGAUGAGUUUAAUGUUUGGCCAAUGCUGGAAUACUUAUGGACACGACUGAUGUUGCUGGUGAACAUACGCUAAGGGUCAUGUUUGAAGGUGUUGUUACCUUGCAUGUACUUAUAAUUAGAGGAAUUCGAGUAUUGUUCAUAUUUCAUAGUUGCUCCUAGGUAACGAAAUCAACUGUUGAUAGCUUCUAUUCUUUG